rnacentral:ncRNA from 1 species
UCACCAUCCAAACACGCCUGACCGAGACUAAACAGCGUGUCUAAACAAUAGUCUCUCAUACCAACUCUGGAGGGGUAGAGUUGGAAUAUUUUACCUA